AGAGUUUGAUCCUGGCUCAGGAUGAACGCUGGCGGCGUGCUUAACACAUGCAAGUCGAACGAAGCACUUUAUUUGAUUUCCUUCGGGACUGAUUAUUUUGUGACUGAGUGGCGGACGGGUGAGUAACGCGUGGGUAACCUGCCUUGUACAGGGGGAUAACAGUUGGAAACGGCUGCUAAUACCGCAUAAGCGCACAGCAUCGCAUGAUGCAGUGUGAAAAACUCCGGUGGUAUAAGAUGGACCCGCGUUGGAUUAGCUAGUUGGUGAGGUAACGGCCCACCAAGGCGACGAUCCAUAGCCGACCUGAGAGGGUGACCGGCCACAUUGGGACUGAGACACGGCCCAAACUCCUACGGGAGGCAGCAGUGGGGAAUAUUGCACAAUGGGCGAAAGCCUGAUGCAGCGACGCCGCGUGAGCGAAGAAGUAUUUCGGUAUGUAAAGCUCUAUCAGCAGGGAAGAUAAUGACGGUACCUGACUAAGAAGCACCGGCUAAAUACGUGCCAGCAGCCGCGGUAAUACGUAUGGUGCAAGCGUUAUCCGGAUUUACUGGGUGUAAAGGGAGCGCAGGCGGUGCGGCAAGUCUGAUGUGAAAGCCCGGGGCUCAACCCCGGUACUGCAUUGGAAACUGUCGUACUAGAGUGUCGGAGGGGUAAGCGGAAUUCCUAGUGUAGCGGUGAAAUGCGUAGAUAUUAGGAGGAACACCAGUGGCGAAGGCGGCUUACUGGACGAUUACUGACGCUGAGGCUCGAAAGCGUGGGGAGCAAACAGGAUUAGAUACCCUGGUAGUCCACGCCGUAAACGAUGAUUACUAGGUGUGGGGGGAUUGACCCCUUCCGUGCCGGAGUAAACACAAUAAGUAAUCCACCUGGGGAGUACGACCGCAAGGUUGAAACUCAAAGGAAUUGACGGGGGCCCGCACAAGCGGUGGAGCAUGUGGUUUAAUUCGAAGCAACGCGAAGAACCUUACCAAGUCUUGACAUCCCGGUGACCGGACAGUAAUGUGUCCUUUUCUUCGGAACACCGGUGACAGGUGGUGCAUGGUUGUCGUCAGCUCGUGUCGUGAGAUGUUGGGUUAAGUCC
rnacentral:rRNA from 1 species